CGGUGGUGUGGUGGUUAGCACUCUCGCCUCACAGCAAGAGGGUUGCUGGUUCGAUCCCGGGCGUGGGAGCCCUUCUGUGUGGAGUUUGCAUGUUCUCCCCGUGUCAGCGUGGGUUCUCUCCGGGCACUCCGGCUUCCUCCCACAGUCCAAAGACAUGCAGAUUGGGGACUAGGUUAAUUGAUAACUCUAAAUUGUCCAUAGGUGUGAAUGUGAGCGUGAAUGGUUGUUUGUCUCUAUGUGUCAGCCCUGCGAUAGUCUGGCGACCUGUCCAGGGUGUACCCUGCCUCUCGCCCGAUGUAGCUGGGAUAGGCUCCAGCCCCCCCGCGACCCUCAAGAGGAUGAAGCGGUUAGAAGAUGAAUGAAUGAAAAACUGGGUUGUUUGUAUACAGUAACAUGUCAAUAAUGUACACACUUUAACUUAAAUUUAAAAAUUAAGAAAGUGGAUUGUUUGUAUACAGUAACUUGAAAAUAAUGCACAUAAUUUGAGUUUAACUUAAAUUAAAAAAAAUUAAAGUUGGCUGUUUGGAUACAACAACUUGUCGAUAUUGCACACACUGAGUUUAAUUUAAAUUUUGAAAAAUAAAAAUAAAAAAGUGGGUUGUUAGUACACAGUAACAUGUCUAAUGUUCACACUUUAAAUUAAAUUAAUAUAUAUUUUUAAAUAUAUAUUUUUUAAAUAAUAAAGUGGGUUGUUUGUGUACAGUAACUUGUCAAUAAUGUACACACUUUGAGUUGAACUUAAAUAAAAAAAAAAACAAUAAAAAGUGGGUCGCUUUUACACAGUAACUUGUCAAUGAUGUAAACACUUUGGGUUUAACCUAAAUAAAUAAAUAACUAAAAGUGUUGUUUGUAUACAAUAACUUGUCAAUAAUGUACACACUUUGAGUUUAACUUAAAUUAUAAAAAUAAAAAAGGUGUUUGUAUACAAUAACUUGUCAAUAAUGUACACACUUUGAGUUUAACUGAGAAAAAUCUAAUGAAAUAAAUCGUCCUUGAUGACCAUUCAGUGUAA